AAAAGAACUUUGAAGAGAGAGUUCAAGAGAAUGUGAAACCACGUGGGGCUAAGCGGAUAGAGUUGACGAAGCUGGCGGUGUUCAGUGCUUGUGAUCGGGCUUGCUCGUGAUCUGGUGCGCUCUCAUCGUCUGGCGCGUGCUGGGACGUUUGGUGUGCUCUUCUGAAGGCUUCGGAGUCGCCCAAGUUCGCUUGGUAGCGUUUCGUUGUUGGAAGUUGAUAUGCGUGCUAAUCGUAGUCGUGACCGGGCCUCUGCGCGUUCGGGCGUUUGGUCGUAGGCUGCUUGGCGGUAGGACAUGUCUUGCUGUCUCGUACGUUUGCGGCUGAGCGUUCGCUCGCCUAUGGUUCACUCCUGGUAUGUGAAAGUCGACCACCUAUCCGACCCGUCUUGAAACACGGACCAAGAAGUCUAGUAUGUACGCGAGUCAUUGGGUAUUAAACCUAUUGGCGCAAUAAAUGUGAAGGGCUUUACCGCCUGAUAUGUGAUCCGUCGGUCUCGGCCGGCGGCGCAACAUAGUCCCAUGCCUUCUGCUUGCAGUUGUGUGGAGAUGGAGCGUACAUACUAGGACCCGAAAGAUGGUGAACUAUGCCUGAGCAGGACGAAGUCAGAGGAAACUCUGAUGGAAGUCCGAAGCGGUUCUGACGUGCAAAUCGAUCGUCGGACUCGGGUAUAGGGGCGAAAGACUAAUCGAACCAUC
rnacentral:rRNA from 1 species